GGUCGAUAUGGCAGAAAUGGGGGAAGGAAUGAAUAUGAUAUUGUUCGCUCUGCUGAUUAUACUUCAGUUGCAGAUGUGGACCAAGAUAUGUACCAUGAUGGCUAUGGGCACGACUCUCACGACAGGCUUCCGGGUCGAUCUGGUAGGGUGCAGCAUAGAACUUCUUCUGAGAGAGUACAAGGGGAAUCCGCCCAUCUUGAAAGGAGACGCUAUGGUAGAGCUCACAGCCCUGAAGAUGUUCGAGAGUCUGAUCUGAGGCAUCGUUUAUCAAAGCAUAACAGAGUUAAUGGUUUGAGGUCAGUCAUUAGUCAGGACUAUGCAAGUGAAAAGCAUGUUGAGGAUCGAGGCUACCGAAGUUCCAGGAGGGAUCGACCCUAUGUACCUUCACAUGAUAGUUCCCUUGCUAGUCGUCUUCGAGGAAGAAUAAAGCUACCAAGUAGAUCACCCUCUCCAACUAAUGGGACAGACAUGCGGCUGGAUAGGGCUAGGGACCGUGGCAGGUUAUCUUCAGAAAGGCCACAGCUUUUCUCUCAACAGGGAAGGCUUCGCGAUAGAAUUAAGGGAAGAGUGCAAGAGGAUCUCAAUGAUUCUGGAAGAAAUAACAGUGGUCCACGUAUAAGAAGAGAUGUAAG
rnacentral:misc_RNA from 1 species